rnacentral:rRNA from 1 species
GCACAAGGUCUAAAUCCUCUGAAGGCACCAGAUCCUAUCUGAUCUUGGAAACUAAGCAAGGUCAGGCUUGGUUAAUACUUGGAAUGGAGACUGCCAGCGAAUACCAAGUAUUGUAUAUA